CAGCCGCCGCGGGAAUACAGAGGGUGCGAGCGUUAAUCGGAUUUACUGGGCGUAAAGCGUGCGUAGGCGGCUCCUUAAGUCGGAUGUGAAAUCCCUGAGCUUAACUUAGGAAUUGCAUUCGAUACUGGGAAGCUAGAGUAUGGGAGAGGAUGGUAGAAUUCCAGGUGUAGCGGUGAAAUGCGUAGAGAUCUGGAGGAAUACCGAUGGCGAAGGCAGCCAUCUGGCCUAAUACUGACGCUGAGGUACGAAAGCAUGGGGAGCAAACAGGAUUAGAUACCCCAGUAGUCCCUGUCUCUUAUAA
rnacentral:rRNA from 1 species